rnacentral:rRNA from 1 species
UAGGGAAUCUUCCGCAAUGGGCGAAAGCUUGACGGAGCAACGCCGCGUGAGUGAUGAAGGUCUUCGGAUCGUAAAACUCUGUUAUUAGGGAACAACAAAUGUGUAAGUAACUAUGCACGUCUUGACGGUACCUAAUCAGAAAGCCACGGCUAACUACGUGCCAGCAGCCGCGGUAAUACGUAGGUGGCAAGCGUUAUCCGGAAUUAUUGGGCGUAAAGCGCGCGUAGGCGGUUUUUUAAGUCUGAUGUGAAAGCCCACGGCUCAACCGUGGAGGGUCAUUGGAAACUGGAAAACUUGAGUGCAGAAGAGGAAAGUGGAAUUCCAUGUGUAGCGGUGAAAUGCGCAGAGAUAUGGAGGAACACCAGUGGCGAAGGCGACUUUCUGGUCUGUAACUGACGCUGAUGUGCGAAAGCGUGGGGAUCAAACAGG